GACGAACGCUGGCGGCGUGCCUAAUACAUGCAAGUAGAACGCAGUUGCGAACGGGUGAGUAACGCGUAGGUAACCUGCCUCAUAGCGGGGGAUAACAUUUGGAAACGAUAGCUAAUACCGCCUACUGUGAGAUGGCCCUGCGUUGUAUUAGCUAUUUGGCGAGGUAAAGGCUCAACAAGGAGACGAUACAUAGCAGACCUGAGAGGGGAAAACGCCACACAGGGACUGGGGCACGACCAAGACUCGUGCGGGAGGCAGCAGAAGGGAAACUUCGUAAAUGGACGGAAGACUGACCGGGCAAAGCCGCGUGAAGGAAGAAGGUUUUCGGAUCGUAAAGCUCAGUUGUUAGAGAAGCGGUAGCGAACCAGAAAGGGACGGCUAACUACGUGCCAGGAGACGCGGUAAUAC
rnacentral:rRNA from 1 species